UACAUAGCUUAAUGAGGGGAACUCAGGGAACUGAAACAUCUAAGUACCUGAAGGAAGAGAAAGAAAUUCGAUUCCGUAAGUAGCGGCGAGCGAACGCGGAUUAGCCCAAACCAAUAAAGUUUUCUUUGUUGGGGUUGCGGACAUAUCAUAACGAAGAGGUAUCGUAAUUGAAGAGGUUUGGAAAGACCCACCACAGAAGGUAAUAGGCCUGUAUGUUAAACGAGAAGACUUUAGAUAUGAUCCAGAGUACCACGGGACACGUGAAACCCUGUGGGAAGCAGGAGGGACCACCCUCCAAGGCUAAAUACUACCUAGUGACCGAUAGCGUAUAGUACCGUGAGGGAAAGGUGAAAAGAACC
rnacentral:rRNA from 1 species